rnacentral:piRNA from 1 species
UNCUGGUACAUGGCCCAGGCCAAGCCUUGU